rnacentral:rRNA from 1 species
UACGGAGGGUGCAAGCGUUGCUCGGAAUUAUUGGGCGUAAAGGGUAGGUAGGUGGUCUCGUUUGUCUGGGGUGAAAGCCUUGAGCUUAACUCAAGAAGUGCCCCAGAAACGGCGAGACUAGAGUUCUGGAGAGGGUCGUGGAAUUCCCGGUGUAGCGGUGAAAUGCGUAGAGAUCGGGAGGAACACCAGAGGCGAAGGCGGCGACCUGGACAGAUACUGACACUAAACUACGAAAGCGUGGGGAGCAAACAGG